GGAAGGGGAGUGAAAGAGAUCCUGAAACCGUGUGCCUACAAAUAGUCAGAGCCCGUUAAUGGGUGAUGGCGUGCCUUUUGUAGAAUGAACCGGCGAGUUACGAUCCCGUGCGAGGUUAAGCUGAAGAGGCGGAGCGCAGCGAAAGCGAGUCUGAAUAGGGCGUUUAGUACGUGGUCGUAGACCCGAAACCAGGUGAUCUACCCAUGUCCAGGGUGAAGUUCAGGUAACACUGAAUGGAGGCCCGAACCCACGCACGUUGAAAGUGCGGGGAUGAGGUGUGGGUAGCGGAGAAAUUCCAAUCGAACCUGGAGAUAGCUGGUUCUCCCCGAAAUAGCUUUAGGGCUAGCCUUAAGUGUAAGAGUCUUGGAGGUAGAGCACUGAUUGAACUAGGGGUCCUCAUCGGAUUACCGAAUUCAGUCAAACUCCGAAUGCCAAUGACUUAUCCUUAGGAGUCAGACUGCGAGUGAUAAGAUCCGUAGUCAAGAGGGAAACAGCCCAGAUCGCCAGCUAAGGUCCCAAAGUGUGUAUUAAGUGGAAAAGGAUGUGGAGUUGCUUAGACAACUAGGAUGUUGGCUUAGAAGCAGCCACCAUUUAAAGAGUGCGUAAUAGCUCACUAGUCGAGUGACUCUGCGCCGAAAAUGUACCGGGGCUAAAUACACCACCGAAGCUGCGAAUUGAUACCAUGGUAUCAGUGGUAGGGGAGCGUUCUAAGUGCAGUGAAGUCAGACCGGAAGGACUGGUGGGCGCUUAGAAGUGAGAAUGCCGGUAUGAGUAGCGAAAGACGGGUGAGAAUCCCGUCCACCGAAUGCCUAAGGUUUCCUGAGGAAGGCUCGUCCGCUCAGGGUUAGUCAGGACCUAAGCCGAGGCCGACAGGCGUAGGCGAUGGACAACAGGUUGAUAUUCCUGUACCACCUCUUUAUCGUUUUGAGCAAUGGGAGGGACGCCAGAAGGAUAGAAGAAGCGUGCGAUUGGUUUGCACGUCCAAGCAGUUAGGCUGAUAAGUAGGCAAAUCCGCUUAUCGUGAAGGCUGAGCUGUGAUGGGGAAGCUCCUUAUGGAGCGAAGUCUUUGAUUCCCCGCUGCCAAGAAAAGCUUCUAGCGAGAUAAAAGGUGCCUGUACCGCAAACCGACACAGGUAGGCGAGGAGAGAAUCCUAAGGUGUGCGAGAGAACUCUGGUUAAGGAACUCGGCAAAAUGACCCCGUAACUUCGGGAGAAGGGGUGCUUUCUUAACGGAAAGCCGCAGUGAAUAGGCCCAAGCGACUGUUUAGCAAAAACACAGCUCUCUGCGAAGCCGUAAGGCGAAGUAUAGGGGGUGACACCUGCCCGGUGCUGGAAGGUUAAGGAGAGGGGUUAGCGUAAGCGAAGCUCUGAACUGAAGCCCCAGUAAACGGCGGCCGUAACUAUAACGGUCCUAAGGUAGCGAAAUUCCUUGUCGGGUAAGUUCCGACCCGCACGAAAGGUGUAACGAUUUGGGCACUGUCUCAACCAGAGACUCGGUGAAAUUAUAGUACCUGUGAAGAUGCAGGUUACCCGCGACAGGACGGAAAGACCCCGUGGAGCUUUACUGUAGCCUGAUAUUGAAUUUUGGUACAGUUUGUACAGGAUAGGCGGGAGCCAUUGAAACCGGAGCGCUAGCUUCGGUGGAGGCGCUGGUGGGAUACCGCCCUGACUGUAUUGAAAUUCUAACCUACGGGUCUUAUCGACCCGGGAGACAGUGUCAGGUGGGCAGUUUGACUGGGGCGGUCGCCUCCUAAAGUGUAACGGAGGCGCCCAAAGGUUCCCUCAGAAUGGUUGGAAAUCAUUCGUAGAGUGCAAAGGCAUAAGGGAGCUUGACUGCGAGACCUACAAGUCGAGCAGGGACGAAAGUCGGGCUUAGUGAUCCGGUGGUUCCGCAUGGAAGGGCCAUCGCUCAACGGAUAAAAGCUACCCCGGGGAUAACAGGCUUAUCUCCCCCAAGAGUCCACAUCGACGGGGAGGUUUGGCACCUCGAUGUCGGCUCAUCGCAUCCUGGGGCUGUAGUCGGUCCCAAGGGUUGGGCUGUUCGCCCAUUAAAGCGGUACGCGAGCUGGGUUCAGAACGUCGUGAGACAGUUCGGUCCCUAUCCGUCGUGGGCGCAGGAAAUUUGAGAGGAGCUGUCCUUAGUACGAGAGGACCGGGAUGGACGCACCGCUGGUGUACCAGUUGUUCUGCCAAGGGCAUAGCUGGGUAGCUAUGUGCGGAAGGGAUAAGUGCUGAAAGCAUCUAAGCAUGAAGCCCCCCUCAAGAUGAGAUUUCCCAUAGCGUAAGCUAGUAAGAUCCCUGAAAGAUGAUCAGGUUGAUAGGUUCGAGGUGGAAGCAUGGUGACAUGUGGAGCUGACGAAUACUAAUAGAUCGAGGACUUAACCAU
rnacentral:rRNA from 1 species